GAUGAACACUAGCUACAGGCUUAACACAUGCAAGUCGGGGGGAAACGACAUCGAAAGCUUGCUUUUGAUGGGCGUCGACCGGCGCACGGGUGAGUAACGCGUAUCCAACCUGCCCAUCACUUGGGAAUAACCUUGCGAAAGUAAGACUAAUGCCCAAUGAUAUCCCACGAAGGCAUCCGAAUGGGAUUAAAGAUUUAUCGGUGAUGGAUGGGGAUGCGUCUGAUUAGCUUGUUGGCGGGGUAACGGCCCACCAAGGUGACGAUCAGUAGGGGGUCUGAGAGGAAGGUCCCCCACAUUGGAACUGAGACACGGUCCAAACUCCUACGGGAGGCAGCAGUGAGGAAUAUUGGUCAAUGGGCGAGAGCCUGAACCAGCCAAGUAGCGUGCAGGAUGACGGCCCUAUGGGUUGUAAACUGCUUUUAUAAGGGAAUAAAGUGAGUCUCGUGAGACUUUUUGCAUGUACCUUAUGAAUAAGGACCGGCUAAUUCCGUGCCAGCCGCCGCAGUAA
rnacentral:rRNA from 1 species